GACGAACGCUUGCGGCGUGCUUAACACAUGCAAGUCGAACGGAAAGGCCCUGCUUUUGUGGGGUGCUCGAGUGGCGAACGGGUGAGUAACACGUGAGUAACCUGCCCUUGACUUUGGGAUAACUUCAGGAAACUGGGGCUAAUACCGGAUAGGAGCUCCUGCUGCAUGGUGGGGGUUGGAGAGUUUCGGCGGUUGGGGAUGGACUCGCGGCUUAUCAGCUUGUUGGUGGGGUAGUGGCUUACCAAGGCUUUGACGGGUAGCCGGCCUGAGAGGGUGACCGGCCACAUUGGGACUGAGAUACGGCCCAGACUCCUACGGGAGGCAGCAGUGGGGAAUAUUGCACAAUGGGCGGAAGCCUGAUGCAGCAACGCCGCGUGCGGGAUGACGGCCUUCGGGUUGUAAACCGCUUUCGCCUGUGACGAAGCGUGAGUGACGGUAAUGGGUAAAGAAGCACCGGCUAACUACGUGCCAGCAGCCGCGGUGAUACGUAGGGUGCGAGCGUUGUCCGGAUUUAUUGGGCGUAAAGGGCUCGUAGGUGGUUGAUCGCGUCGGAAGUGUAAUCUUGGGGCUUAACCCUGAGCGUGCUUUCGAUACGGGUUGACUUGAGGAAGGUAGGGGAGAAUGGAAUUCCUGGUGGAGCGGUGGAAUGCGCAGAUAUCAGGAGGAACACCAGUGGCGAAGGCGGUUCUCUGGGCCUUUCCUGACGCUGAGGAGCGAAAGCGUGGGGAGCGAACAGGCUUAGAUACCCUGGUAGUCCACGCUGUAAACGGUGGGUACUAGGUGUGGGGUCCAUUCCACGGGUUCCGUGCCGUAGCUAACGCUUUAAGUACCCCGCCUGGGGAGUACGGCCGCAAGGCAAAAACUCAAAGGAAUUGACGGGGCCCCGCACAAGCGGCGGAGCAUGCGGAUUAAUUCGAUGCAACGCGUAGAACCUUACCUGGGUUUGACAUGGAUCGGGAGUGCUCAGAGAUGGGUGUGCCUCUUUUGGGGUCGGUUCACAGGUGGUGCAUGCCUGUCGUCAGCUCGUGUCGUGAGAUGUUGGGUUAAGUCCCGCAACGAGCGCAACCCUUGUUCACUGUUGCCAGCACGUUAUGGUGGGGACUAAGUGGAGACCGCCGGGGUCAACUCGGAGGAAGGUGGGGAUGACGUCAAGUCCUCAUGCCCCUUAUGUCCAGGGCUUCACGCAUGCUACAAUGGCUGGUACAGAGAGUGGCGAGCCUGUGAGGGUGAGCGAAUCUCGGAAAGCCGGUCUCAGUUCGGAUUGGGGUCUGCAACUCGACCUCAUGAAGUCGGAGUCGCUAGUAAUCGCAGAUCAGCAACGCUGCGGUGAAUACGUUCCCGGGGCC
rnacentral:rRNA from 1 species